rnacentral:rRNA from 1 species
UGGGGAAUUUUGGACAAUGGGCGAAAGCCUGAUCCAGCAAUGCCGCGUGUGUGAAGAAGGCCUUCGGGUUGUAAAGCACUUUUGUCCGGAAAGAAAUCCUUGGCUCUAAUACAGUCGGGGGAUGACGGUACCGGAAGAAUAAGCACCGGCUAACUACGUGCCAGCAGCCGCGGUAAUACGUAGGGUGCAAGCGUUAAUCGGAAUUACUGGGCGUAAAGCGUGCGCAGGCGGUUUGCUAAGACCGAUGUGAAAUCCCCGGGCUCAACCUGGGAACUGCAUUGGUGACUGGCAGGCUAGAGUAUGGCAGAGGGGGGUAGAAUUCCACGUGUAGCAGUGAAAUGCGUAGAGAUGUGGAGGAAUACCGAUGGCGAAGGCAGCCCCCUGGGCCAAUACUGACGCUCAUGCACGAAAGCGUGGGGAGCAAACAGGAUUAGAUACCCUGGUAGUCCACGCCCUAAAACGAUGUCAACUAGUUGUUGGGGAUUCAUUUCCUAGUAACGUAGCUAACGCGUGAAGUUGACCGCCUGGGGAGUACGGUCGCAAGAUUAAAACUCAAAUGAAUUGACGGGGUCAUAGCUGUUUCCU